UACAGGGGGUGCGAGCGUUGUUCGGAAUUACUGGGCGUAAAGCGCGUGUAGGCGGUCCACUAAGUCAGAUGUGAAAUCCUGGGGCUUAACUCCAGAAGUGCAUUUGAAACUAUUGGGCUAGAGUGACGUAGAGGAUGGCGGGAUACCCAGUGUAGAGGUGAAAUGCGUAGAGAUUGGGUAGAACACCGGUGGCGAAGGCGGCCAUCUGGGCAUUAACUGACGCUGAGACGCGAAAGCGUGGGGAGCAAACAGG
rnacentral:rRNA from 1 species